AUUCUGCCCAUGCGGGAAAGGAUGAGAAGCUUCGACCAAGGUGCGACUCGAGCGCCAGCGAGAGAGCGUUGCCGCAGGCAACGACCCGAAGGGCGAAGGGCGAAGCGCGCAGCGCUGAGUAAUCCUUCCCCCACCACCA
rnacentral:sRNA from 1 species